UACGGAGGGUCCGAGCGUUAUCCGGAUUUAUUGGGCUUAAAGGGUGCGUAGGCGGCCUAUUAAGUCAGGGGUGAAAGACGGUAGCUUAACUAUCGCAGUGCCUUUGAUACUGAUAGGCUUGAAUAUACUUGAGGUAGGCGGAAUGUGACAAGUAGCGGUGAAAUGCAUAGAUAUGUCACAGAACACCAAUUGCGAAGGCAGCUUACUAAAGUAUGAUUGACGCUGAGGCACGAAAGCGUGGGGAUCAAACAGG
rnacentral:rRNA from 1 species